GGCAGGUGAUGGUUUACUCUCACAAUGGUCUGUGAAUGCCAGUGAAGGCGAUGCCUAAAAUGCCAAUGGCUCAGCUGAUGCCAGGAG
ensembl:snoRNA